GACCCGGUAGCUCAGUGGUAGAGCAUGUGACUUUUAAUCACAGGGCCGUGGGUUCGAUCCCCACCCGGGUCACCA
rnacentral:tRNA from 1 species